rnacentral:lncRNA from 1 species
GUUGAAUACCGCUUGUAGUUACUUUCUUGCCAUAGAGUUGAACUAGUAAAAGGUGCCCAUGGUGCGAGUGCAGUCGUAACGCUUUGACGUUGGAUCCGAGCCCAUGGAGAAAGUUGGAGCUGUAGAGCUGUAUGUUUUUGGACAAAGUCACCAAUUCCAUUGCUCUUCCUAUGCCGAGUGGCCAG